UACGAAGGGGGCUAGCGUUGUUCGGAAUUACUGGGCGUAAAGCGUGCGCAGGCGGCUUCUCAAGUCAGGGGUGAAAGCCCAGAGCUCAACUCUGGAAUAGCCUUUGAUACUGGCUGUCUUGAGUUCGGGAGAGGUGAGUGGAAUGCCGAGUGUAGAGGUGAAAUUCGUAGAUAUUCGGCGGAACACCAGUGGCGAAGGCGACUCACUGGCCCGAUACUGACGCUGAGGCGCGAAAGCGUGGGGAGCAAACAGG
rnacentral:rRNA from 1 species